rnacentral:lncRNA from 1 species
AAAUAUGAAAAGUUAAAACAUAAAAGUCAAAUUUUACUUUCCAUGUGUCACCUAACUAAGGAAAGGAGAAAUGAAAAGCAAAUUAAAAAAAAGAAAAAGGGAUUUUCUUCUUUCUUCCUCCACCAUUGCCGUAGCUCUCCCAUUGAAAAACCAAAGCUUUGUUUUGUCUUCCUUCCACCAAAGCCAAGCCAAACCUCACCAAAACAACUUCUUCCUUUAACCAAAAUUUACCCUAAGACCAAGAGUUAAAGGAACAGCCAUAUAUUGAAAGGAUUGGAGAAGAAAAGUUGAGGAUUUCAUAUACACCAAGCUUGUAAAUCAAAGGUGAGCUUAUAAUGGGUAGGAAAUGGCAUCUUUUCAUUUAUUCAUGCAUGAAUUUGAAUUAUAAAGCUUUAAUUUAUAGUUUAUUCAAUCCUUCCCUAAGAUAUAAAUUGACCUAGGUGAAGGACCAUCAAAGGGAAAGGAGAUAGCUAGAGAGUAGAAGUGGAAAAAGGAAAGAGGAAUUAAAGAAAGGUUUGGUGUUUCUUUGAUUUUCUGUUUUCCUUGAAUUUUCACAUGGACAUAUGAAGUUGGAGAUUGAUUUUACUUGCUGGAAAUAUUGCUUUGAUUGUAUAAAUAUGUUAUAUGUAUGUUAAAAUGGUGUUUGAAAGGCUUAGAGUAAAGAAACUUAAUAUGAGAGCUUAAAGUGCAAAUCUGGCAGAAUAGGUUUUAACAGGGCAGCUUGUGUUAACAAGUUCAUAACUUAUUGUGUUUUUAUGGAAAUUAGUCCUAAGAUAUACCAAAUGAAAUCUAAGACAAAGAGCUAAAAUUUUCAUGAAUGACUAAAUUCGAAAUCUGUAUGUAAGAUGAUGAAAAUUGCAAUUGAACCUAAACUGGACACAGUGGUAGUGCAUCCGGAACAGAGUCUAUUGAUGAUACCAUAACUAAUUUUGUACUCAGUGAAAUUUGUUAAGACCAGUGCCAAUUGAAUCUUAAGAAAUAUACCUAAAACUUUGUAGAAGACACUUAAGCUUGAAUUUGUAUGGAAAUGCAUGAAUCUGAUAAGUUUUGUGAUACUAUAAACAAGUACCAAUACUGGACUGAUUAAGACCUUAUUGAGCAGCUUGUAAAGAAAAAUUCAUAACUUCAUCUAGGAUGAUCAGAUUUGCAUGAACCAUACCUUGUUGGAAAGAUAAGACAUAAAUUUAUAUUUCUUAUGAAGAAAUUGAAGUCAAAUUGUAACUCUAAACUGCUUGAAAAGUUUAUGCAAUAUAUGGCAGAAUGUAGUUUUCUAUAUUGAAAUGCUAAGUCAAUAAAGUUUUGCACUAUUUGCCAUGAGUUUUCCAUAUUGUAAACCUUGGCAUAUGAUAUAUGUACUUUGGAAAAAGAAAUCAAAUAGCUUCAAAUGACAUGCAUUUACAUUGAUACAUUGAGUUAAUGAUACUUGGCCCUGGUAAAUGCAAUAGGAGUCGAGGUUAGCUUAAGUGUAACGACCCGAAAAUCGGACCGCUACCGGCGCUAGGAUCCGGGUCGACUUAAGGCCGCCGGGACCCGUAGCAAGCCUAACAUACAUCCUCUAUAGCUGGUAUAAUCCCAUACAUGAUCAAACAUAANNNNNNNNNNNNNNNNNNNNNNNNNNNNNNNNNNNNNNNNNNNNNNNNNNNNNNNNNNNNNNNNNNNNNNNNNNNNNNNNNNNNNNNNNNNNNNNNNNNNNNNNNNNNNNNUACUUAAAACAUAAAAUACCUUAAAAACAUUUCAUAAAACAUGGUUUUCCCCUUCUAGAGGUUUCCGACAUCCGAGAUUCCACCGGACGGUAGGAAUUUCCGAUACCGGAGUCUAGCCGGGUAUUACAUUAAGGGUAUGGUAUGCCAUAUAAACAUACAGAGUUCGCAGUACUGCUACCGAUACAUGAUCUAUAUUUGAGGUUACAUAUCUGGUACCUCAUAAGCAUGGCCACAGAGCCCUGCUAUCACAGUUUUGGCCUCUGAGCCUACCGUUCGGCACCUUGUGCCUACCGUUAUAACUCCUUAUUUACCUAGUCGAUCCUACUAUGUGUUUAUAAGGGCUAAGAUCUUAAUUAAGGUUGAUACUUGAUUUUGGUGAACUUAUUAGUGAGUGUUAACAUGUUUGCAUCUAUUAGCUUGUACUUGUUUACCUGAUUAUCUAUAUACGUGAACUUGUUUGUUUUAUUCUGUUAUUUGUUUGUUAUCACCCACUGAGCAUUAGCUCAGCGUGUUGGUUUUUACCUCACGCAGAUUGUAGAUAGAGUAGGCACGUGAAGUUCAUCAGAGGUCUACAUCAGAUAUCAAGGCCAUUAUCAUAGCUGGUUGUUUGAGUCUCUGAGUCAUAGUGCAGUUAUAUUUUGGCAUGUACAUAUUUAAUAGAGUGAGUUGUAAAGGUUAUGUAAUCAAAGAAUAGUAAGAUAUCAAAUGACAGUUGUUAGUGUAUUAUAAGUGUGAGGUUCAUAUGUAUUACAGGUUAAAGUGCUAAUGAAACAGAGGAAACUCUGCCGAAAAAUUUUGGUUUAGAAAUCUCACAUUUAUUUUAAUCACUUGAU